GGGGCUGUGAGGUAAUCUGGUAUCCUGCCGGCAUGGGGUGCCGGCUAUCCGAGUUCAAAUCUUGGCGGCCCCA
rnacentral:tRNA from 1 species